rnacentral:rRNA from 1 species
GACGAACGCUGGCGGCGUGCUUAACACAUGCAAGUCGAACGGAAAGGCCCUGCUUUUGUGGGGUGCUCGAGUGGCGAACGGGUGAGUAACACGUGAGUAACCUGCCCUUGACUUUGGGAUAACUUCAGGAAACUGGGGCUAAUACCGGAUAGGAGCUCCUGCUGCAUGGUGGGGGUUGGAAAGUUUCGGCGGUUGGGGAUGGACUCGCGGCUUAUCAGCUUGUUGGUGGGGUAGUGGCUUACCAAGGCUUUGACGGGUAGCCGGCCUGAGAGGGUGACCGGCCACAUUGGGACUGAGAUACGGCCCAGACUCGUACGGGAGGCAGCAGUGGGGAAUAUUGCACAAUGGGCGGAAGCCUGAUGCAGCAACGCCGCGUGCGGGAUGCCGGCCUUCGGGUUGUAAACCGCUUUCGACUGUGACGAAGCGUGCGUGACGGUAAUGGGUAAAGAAGCACCGGCUAACUACGUG